rnacentral:rRNA from 1 species
UACAGGGGGUGCAAACGUUGCUCGGAAUCAUUGGGCGUAAAGCGCACGUAGGCGGUCUGUUAUGUCGGAUGUGAAAGCCCUUGGCUUAACUGAGGAAGUGCAUCCGAAACUGGCAGGCUAGAGUACUAAAGAGGGUCGCGGAAUUCCCGGUGUAGAGGUGAAAUUCGUAGAUAUCGGGAGGAACAUCUGUGGCGAAGGCGACUGCCUGGACCAGCACUGACACUGAGGCACGAAAGCGUGGGGAGCAAACAGG